rnacentral:misc_RNA from 1 species
CUGUAGACAAAAGCCAUGGAGGGUAACAAGCCUACAACGGUGAUGUGUACGGUACUUGCUUUGGACCAUUCCAACCUCUUUUACAGAGCCUGCUCCGUCUGCGAGAGAACUCUUCCGGACACUCCUAAUUCUCUCUGCAGAUUCUGUGACAGCUUCAACCCCGCCUCUUCCUCCUCUUCCAAGCGUCUGUUUCGCCUCCUUGUUUCAAUUGCCACAGAUACCAAGGUGCUUAAUGUCAUCUGCUUUGAUAGGGCUGCUAGAGUCUUGUUUGGAUGCUCUGCUGAUGAGUUUUUUGACUUCGCCAAGAUUCACCCUUUUGCUGCCGCCAAUGCUGGAACAAUUCUAGAAGGGGAGAUGUUUAAGAUGACACUGUCAAAACCCG